CCUAUCUUCCAUAACUAUGUUCUCUUGUACGAACCCGGUAGAAGCAUCAACAACUGUCAUUAACAGCUGUCCUCGCCGUUCACCUAUGCCGCCGAACAGGUGAUCUGGAUCUUGACCUAUGCUGCCGAACAGGUGAUCUGGAUCUUGACCUAUGCUUCCGAACAGGUGAUCUUGACUUAUGCUUCCGAACAGGUGAUUUUGAUCUUGAUCUAUGCUUCCGAACAGGUGAUCUGGAUCUUGACUUAUGCUUCCGAACAGGUGAUCUGGAUCUUGACCUAUGCUUCCGAACAGGUGAUCUGGAUCUUGACCUAUGCUUCCGAACUGGUGAUUUGGAUCUUGACCUUCUUACCCUGCAUAAAAAGGAAACCCUGUAAAUAAACAAGGCACAGCUGUAGUAUAAAUGGGAACCCAUACAAAUUCACCUGAGUAGCUUAUAUUGUUAUAUGAUGAUGGUAGUUUGUCUCAAAAAUAUAAACCUUAAACAUGAUUAACUUAAUGGCAACAAACCUGG
rnacentral:lncRNA from 1 species